rnacentral:rRNA from 1 species
UACUGCAGUCGACGGCAGCCGGACUUCGGUCUGGUGGCGAGUGGCGAACGGGUGACUUUGUAUCGGAACGUGCCUGGUAGUGGGGGAUAACUAGUCGCUUGAUUAGCUAAUACCGCAUACGACCUACGGGUGAAAGCAGGGGACCUUCGGGCCUUGUGCUAUCAGAGCGGCCGAUAUCUGAUUAGCUAGUUGGUGGGGUAAAAGCCCACCAAGGCGACGAUCAGUAGCUGGUUUGAGAGAACGACCAGCCACACUGGAACUGAGACACGGUCCAGACUCCUACGGGAGGCAGCAGUGGGGAAUUUUGGACAAUGGGGGCAACCCUGAUCCAGCAAUGCCGCGUGAGUGAAGAAGGCCCUCGGGUUGUAAAGCUCUUUUGUCAGGGAAGAAAAGGUCGUGGCUAAUAUCCACGGCUCAUGACGGUACCUGAAGAAUAAGCACCGGCUAACUACGUGCCAGCAGCCGCGGUAAUACGUAGGGUGCAAGCGUUAAUCGGAAUUACUGGGCGUAAAGCGUGCGCAGGCGGUUGAUUAAGUUUGAUGUGAAAUCCCCGGGCUUAACCUGGGAACUGCAUUGAAUACUGGUCAGCUAGAGUGUGUCAGAGGGGGGUAGAAUUCCACGUGUAGCAGUGAAAUGCGUAGAGAUGUGGAGGAAUACCGAUGGCGAAGGCAGCCCCCUGGGAUAACACUGACGCUCAUGCACGAAAGCGUGGGGAGCAAACAGGAUUAGAUACCCUGGUAGUCCACGCCCUANACGAUGUCAACUAGUUGUCGGGUCUUAAUUGACUUGGUAACGCAGCUAACGCGU